UAGUUUAGUAAACAUCUUCGACAUGAAUCUAAUUAUGUUUCCUUUUCAAUUCAAUUGUCCUUAAUCUAAUUAUAGAUUAGUAAACGAGCGCUUAAUGUAAGCAUAUCAUUGUAUCAAAACUAAACAAAAAUAAUAAUAGAUUAGCAACAUGUUGUUGACAUUAGUUUUGAAAUGACAUCAUUCCUUACAUCAUUACCAAAAUACUAAGAGAGAUGUUGAGGAGACUCUAUUAAAAGUGAGACUUUCCGCCACCUCAUGUUUUUGGCAUUAUUCCCGUCCAAACAUUAUAAAACAUUGUACCAAAAACAUGAGGUACUGGAGAGUCCAUAGAGAGUCCCACUUUGAAAGAGUCUCCUUAGCAUUUCUCAUAUACUAAUAAUCAAGUUUUAUUUUUGUUGAAUACUAAUAUUGU
rnacentral:lncRNA from 1 species